rnacentral:rRNA from 1 species
UACGGAGGGUGCAAGCGUUAUCCGGAUUCACUGGGUUUAAAGGGUGUGUAGGCGGGCAUUUAAGUCAGUGGUGAAAUCUCCAGGCUCAACCUGGAAACUGCCAUUGAUACUAUUUAUCUUGAAUCCUGUUGAGGUGGGCGGAAUAUAUCAUGUAGCGGUGAAAUGCUUAGAUAUGAUAUAGAACACCGAUUGCGAAGGCAGCUCACUAAGCAGGUAUUGACGCUGAGGCACGAAAGCGUGGGGAUCAAACAGG